rnacentral:rRNA from 1 species
CCUACGGGUGGCAGCAGUGGGGAAUAUUGCGCAAUGGGCGAAAGCCUGACGCAGCGACGCCGCGUGAGGGAUGAAGGUCUUCGGAUCGUAAACCUCUGUCAGCAGGGAAGAACGGUCACUGUGCUAAUCAGCAGUGAAUUGACGGUACCUGCAAAGGAAGCACCGGCUAACUCCGUGCCAGCAGCCGCGGUAAUACGGAGGGUGCGAGCGGUAAUCGGAAUUACUGGGCGAAAAGCGCUCGUAGGCGGUAUGUCAAGUCAAGGGGGAAAUCCCCGCGCUCAACGUGGGAACUGCCGUUGAAACUGGCAAACUGGAGUGUGUGAGAGGAUAGUGGAAUUCCAGGUGUAGGAGUGAAAUCCGUAGAUAUCUGGAGGAACAUCAGUGGCGAAGGCGACUAUCUGGCACAUAACUGACGCUGAGGAGCGAAAGCGUGGGUAGCAAACAGGAUUAGAUACCCCAGUAGUC